rnacentral:lncRNA from 1 species
GCACUGUACCUCAUACAUCUCUAUUCUCCUCUUUUUGUUGUCAUAGUCCCACGUAAAUACCAAUUGAUUAUUUUUAUUUUUUUUAUUAAAAGCCAACAUCAUAUCUUACAAAGUCAUAAAUCUACCAUAAUUCGUAAAGUACAACGUCAUAAUAAACUUUUACAAAACAAUACACAUGCCACAGAGAAUUAGCCAUCUAUCUGAAUCCAUGUUUUAACCGAAAUCAAAAAGUUGUGGAUUGUAGUAUCAAUGGACAGCUGUAACUACUAGGAUGUUGA